UGAGUGUGAAAGAUAAUCGCGGCUGGCUUAAGCCAGGUGAGGAAAGUCCGAGCUCCAUAGGGCAGGAUGCCGGAUAACGUCCGGCGAGAGUGAUCUCAGGGAAAGUGCCACAGAAAUGUGUACCGCCUGCGUAAGCAGGUAAGGGUGGAACGGUGCGGUAAGAGCGCACCAGCAGUCUGGUAACAGGCUGGCUAGGUAAACCCCAUCCGGAGCAAGACCAAAUAGGGAAGGGAUGAAGUUGCCCGCUGAGCCUUCCGGGUUGUGUCGCUUGAACUUGCAGGUAACUGUAAGUCUAGAUAAAUGAUUAUCACCGCUUUGCGGAACAGAACUCGGCUUAUUGAACACUCAUCAA
rnacentral:RNase_P_RNA from 1 species